GACGAACCGUGCGAACGUUGUUCGGAUUCACUGGGCUUAAAGGGCGCGUAGGCGGGCCGCCUGGUCAGGGGUGAAAGCCCGCGGCUCAACCGCGGAAGUGCCUUGAUACCGGCGGCCUCGAGGGAGGUAGGGGCGUGCGGAACUUCCGGUGGAGCGGUGAAAUGCGUGAGAUAUCGGAAGGAACGCCGGUGGCGAAAGCGGCGCGCUGGACCUCUUCUGACGCUGAGGCGCGAAAGCCAGG
rnacentral:rRNA from 1 species